GCAUCGGUAGUGUGUGGAACACGCACCAUUAACUUAUAAGUACCGUCAGCAUCUUCAUAACGGUGCGACGGGGUUCGAUUCCCCACCGGUGCA